rnacentral:lncRNA from 1 species
CUUGCUUUCUUACCUCCACCUUCCAGAUAUGGGGAGAAGCCAUGUUGGAGCAGCUCUAUGGAGGGGACCCCCAUUGUGAAGAAUUGAAGCCUCCUGCUCACAGCCACAUGAAAUUGAAAGCACGUUCUCCUGGCACCGUCAAACCUUUCAAUGAUUGCUUCCCUGAAAGUCAGCCCAAUUAUAACUUCAUGAGAGACCCUGAGCCUACUCCAGAUUCAUGACCCUGAGAAACUCUGUGAGAUAACUACUGUUUCAUGUUUCAAGCUGUUAAAUUUUGGGGCAAUUAGUUACACAGCAAUAGGCAACUAACACAUAGAUUGGACAGAUUCUGAUGACGUACACAGGAUGUUGGAUGUUCACUGUGCCUACAGGAUGACAUCUAGUCUCUCACACGUGAUACCCAGAAUUCUUUAGUAUCUGCCUCUUAUCACUUCAGCCUCUUAUUUUUACUACACUAGAUCAUCAGAGCUCUGCUUUAUUCUUCACAACUUGCUGGUAUUAUUCAAAUAAAUUAUGCAAUUCUUUUCUUCCCUCAAUUGUUAUUCUUUCAUUUAUUUGCUGAAUUCCUGAUUAUCCUUUAAGACUCGGAUCAACAUUACCUCAUUCUUGACCUCCCAGGGUAUUUUGUCUCUUUCCCCACCGCUUAAGAUUCUUAUUUCAAGCCACAUAGCCCUACAGUUUUCUUAACAUUCUUGGUAAUUCAAGACUAAUUAUUUCAAAGUUUACUUCUUUCAUAAAAUUUAUCUCACAGCCAAUGUAGAAUUAGACCCUCAUUGCCUUGGAUACUCA